rnacentral:rRNA from 1 species
AUGGCGUCGGCAGCGGAGGAGAAGCAUAAGAAUCAGGAGGCGGAGACGGGGUCGGUGAUUGGGGGCAGAGGUCUGGACGUGAGGAAGGACGGGGUGGCGAGGGAGGUGGUGCGGAUGGAGAGGGAGGCGGUGAUCCCCAUCAUCAAGCCCAAACUAGUAAUGAAGCUCGCCGACCUCAUCGAGCAUGAGGUGGAUCGCAAUGAGUUCCUAAAGCUGUGCAAGAAGGUGGAGUACACCAUCAGGGCUUGGUAUCUCCUCCAGUUCGAUGAUUUAAUGCAACUGUACUCACUAUUUGACCCUGUUAAUGGUGAGAAGAGGCUGGAACAGCAGAAUCUGACACCCGAGGAGAUCGAUACUCUUGAAUUCAAUUUCAUGACAUAUCUUUUCCAGAUAAUGGAAAAGAGCAACUUCAAGUUGUUAUCUGAUGAAGAGUAUGAUGUUGCACAGUCUGGAAAAUAUCUUUUGAACCUCCCCAUCAAAGUUGAUGAAUCUAAGCUGGACAAGAAGUUGUUGACAACAUACUUUAAAGAACACCCACAUGAUAAUCUGCCUACAUUUGCUGAUAAGUAUAUUAUCUUCCGUCGUGGCAUUGGGUUCGACCGUACAACUGAUUACUUUGUCAUGGAGAAAGUGGAUGUACUCAUAUCCCGAGUUUGGAGAUUAUUGCAAAGGGUUACCAGGAUUGAUAGGUUGUUCUCUAAGAAACCACAGUCGAAGUCAAGAAACGACAUCAAAAAGACCGACGAAAUUAUUGAAGACACAGAAGAACAAGAGCUAUUUGUCGAACGCAUUCGGCUAGAAAAAAUUGAGCUAAGCAUAAAAAACCUGAUGAGUAAGAUGACAAUUCAAGAACCUACAUUUGAUAGGAUGAUUGUAGUGUACAGGCAGGCUGGCAUGAAGGCUAAGCCUAGUCGUGGAAUAUUUGUAAAGCAUUUCAAAAAUAUUCCAAUGGCUGAUAUGGAAAUUGUUCUGCCAGAGAAGAAGAAUCCCACUUUAACACCAAUGGAUUGGGUCAAGUUUCUUAUUUCUGCUGUUAUAGGUUUGGUCACUCUUGUUGGUUCUCUUGAAAUGCCGAAGGCUGAUGUAUGGGUUGUCAUUGCAAUCAUGUCUGGGGUGAUUGGCUAUUGUGCUAAGAUCUACUUCACGUUUCAGCAAAAUAUGACACUAUAUCAGAAUUUGAUUACAAAAUCAAUGUAUGACAAACAACUUGAUAGUGGGAAAGGAACACUUCUACACUUAUGUGAUGAUGUGAUACAGCAAGAAGUUAAGGAGGUCAUAAUUUCUUACUAUAUUUUAAUGGAGCAAGGGAAGGCAACUAUACAAGAUCUUGAUUUGCAUUGUGAGGAGCUAAUUAAAGAGGAGUUUGGCGCCGAGUGCAAUUUUGAUGUUCACGAUGCUGUAAAGAAGUUAGAGAAGCUUGGCAUCGUUCAUCGGGAUUCGAUUGGUAGAAUCUUAUGUGCUCCGUUGAAGCGUGCCAACGAAAUCAUAGGCACCACUACUGAAGAAAUGGUGACGCGAGCACAACAGAGCCCUGCUUCUUAA